rnacentral:rRNA from 1 species
UACAGAGGGGGCAGGCGUUAUUCGGAAUUAUUGGGGCGUAAAGGGCGCGUAGGCGGCCAUUCAAGUGACGGGUGAAAGCCCUCGGCUUAACCGAGGAACUGCCUGUCAGACUGGAUGGCUUGAGACCGGGAGAGGUGAGUGGAAUUCCCAGUGUAGCGGUGAAAUGCGUAGAUAUUGGGAGGAACACCAGUGGCGAAGGGCGGCUCACUGGACCGGAACUGACGCUGAGGCGCGAAAGCGUGGGGAGCAAACAGG